rnacentral:rRNA from 1 species
GAUGAACGCUGGCGGCGUGCCUAAUACAUGCAAGUCGAGCGAACAGACGAGGAGCUUGCUCCUUUGACGUUAGCGGCGGACGGGUGAGUAACACGUGGGUAACCUACCUAUAAGACUGGGAUAACUUCGGGAAACCGGAGCUAAUACCGGAUAAUAUUUCGAACCGCAUGGUUCGAUAGUGAAAGAUGGCUUUGCUAUCACUUAUAGAUGGACCUGCGCCGUAUUAGCUAGUUGGUAAGGUAACGGCUUACCAAGGCAACGAUACGUAGCCGACCUGAGAGGGUGGUCGGCCACACUGGAACUGGGUCACGGUCCAGACUCCGACGGGAGGCAGCAGUAGGCAAUCUUCCGCAAUGGGCGAAAGCCUUACGGAGCAACGCCGCGUGAGUGAUGAAGGUCUUCGGAUCGUAAAACUCUGUGAUUAGGGAAGAAUAAACGUGUAAGUAACUGUGCACGUCUUGACGGUACCUAAUCAGAAAGCCACGGCUAACUACGUG